rnacentral:lncRNA from 1 species
AAAUUAAAUCCAGUGACCACUUAGUGGAUCCAGUAACAGCCUGAACUAGGCCUGUGAGUAAGUAAGACUACAGAUGAUAAGCCUGUUCACAGUGAACUGGCUAAAAGCUUAGCCUUAAGCUAGACACAGACAGAUUUUUGAAAACAAUUCCUAGGAAAUAGAUCUGUUUUAAGCUCUUCUACAGGAAGUCUUUUGGUUUCCUAUUGCUACUGUGACAAAUUUCUACAAACUUAAUGGCUUAAAACAACACGAAUUGCUUACUUACGGUUCUGGAGGUGCGUCGUCCAGAGUCGGCCUCCCUGGGCUGAAGGUAAGCUGUCGGCAGGGCGUCCGUCCUUCUGGAAGUUCUGAGGGGAGUCUGUUUGCUUCCCUUUUUCAGUUUCCUGAGGUGGCUGCACUCCUUGGCUCCUGACCUCCUCCCCUGCUUACUGCAGCCUCCUGCGUCCAUCACAUCUGCUACUGCCCCCUCACAACGCCUGCCUCCCUCUUGUGAGGACUCUUGUAAUUACCUUGGACCCACCUGGAUAAUCCAGGAUGCUC